UACGGGGGGGGCAAGCGUUGUUCGGAAUUACUGGGCGUAAAGCGUGCGCAGGCGGUUUUGUAAGCCAGAUGUGAAAUCCCCGGGCUUAACCUGGGAAUGGCAUUUGGGACUGCAAGGCUGGAGUUUGGCAGAGGAGACUGGAAUUCCUGGUGUAGCAGUGAAAUGCGUAGAUAUCAGGAGGAAUACCGAUGGCGAAGGCAGGUCUCUGGGCUAUAACUGACGCUCAUGCACGAAAGCGUGGGGAGCAAACAGG
rnacentral:rRNA from 1 species